GCUGGCGGCAGGCCUAACACAUGCAAGUCGAGCGGCCGUAGCAAUACGGCAGCGGCAGACGGGAGAGUAACACGUGGGAACGUGCCUAUCAGUUCGGAACAACCCAGGGAAACUUGGGCUAAAACCGGAUACGCCCUUACGGGGAAAGAUUUAUCGCUGAUAGAGCGGCCCGCGUCUGAUUAGCUAGUUGGUGAGGUAACGGCUCACCAAGGCGACGAUCAGUAGCUGGUCUGAGAGGAUGAUCAGCCUCAUUGGGACUGAGACACGGCCCAAACUCCUACGGGAGGCAGCAGUGGGGAAUAUUGGACAAUGGGCGCAAGCCUGAUCCAGCCAUGCCGCGUGGGUGAUGAAGGCCCUAGGGUUGUAAAGCCCUUUCGGCGGGGAAGAUAAUGACGGUACCCGCAGAAGAAGCCCCGGCUAACUUCGUGCCAGCAGCCGCGGUAAUACGAAGGGGGCUAGCGUCGCUCGGAAUCACUGGGCGUAAAGCGCACGUAGGCGGCUUUUUAAGUCAGGGGUGAAAUCCUGGAGCUCAACUCCAGAACUGCCUUUGAUACUGAGAAGCUCGAGUCCGGGAGAGGUGAGUGGAACUGCGAGUGUAGAGGUGAAAUUCGUAGAUAUUCGCAAGAACACCAGUGGCGAAGGCGGCUCACUGGCCCGGUACUGACGCUGAGGUGCGAAAGCGUGGGGAGC
rnacentral:rRNA from 1 species